rnacentral:rRNA from 1 species
CACGUAGGGGGCAAGCGUUGUCCGGAAUCAUUGGGCGUAAAGAGCUCGUAGGCGGCUCAGUAAGUCGGGUGUGAAACCCUCAGGCUCAACCUGGGGACGCCACCCGAUACUGCUGUGGCUAGAGUCCGGAAGAGGAGAGUGGAAUUCCUGGUGUAGCGGUGAAAUGCGCAGAUAUCAGGAAGAACACCCGUGGCGAAGGCGGCUCUCUGGGACGGUACUGACGCUGAGACGCGAAAGCGUGGGGAGCGAACAGG